CCUACGGGUGGCAGCAGUGAGGAAGAGUGGUCAAUGGGCGGGAGCCUGAACCAGCCAUGCCGCGUGAAGGCGAGGGCCCUACGGGCGUUAAACUUCUUGUGUGCGGGAGCAAGAAGGGCCACGGGUGGCCCGAUGAGAGUACCGCACGAAGAAGCAGCGGCUAACUCCGGGCCAGCAGCCGCGGAAAUACGGGGGAGGCGAGCGUUAUCCGGAUUGAUUGGGUUUCAAGGGGGCGUAGGCGGCGCUUCAGGUCAGCGGGGAACUCCCGGGGCUCAACCCCGUGGCGGCCGUUGAAACCGGAGCCCUAGACUUCCGCUUCCGUCGGUGGACUGUGUUGUGUAGCGGU
rnacentral:rRNA from 1 species